AGUUCUAUCUUACACUUCGGAAAACGGCAUUUUUUGUUGUUUAGUAAAAUAGGUGAGAAUAAAUGCACAAAAAAGACAUGCUAAUCAGGUACAAUCGUGUCCCAGCAGCCUCAAAUUGCAAACACGUGUAAUGUAUGUCUCCAGCAUUCCCACUCAGGUUUGUGUGUUCAAUUACACACACACCUCCGUGACAUCACUUUUCAUGCAUUAUGUUGGUUUUUUUCGUUGUACUGUGGAAGAAUUUUUUAUUCUUCUGAUGUUGUCAGUCUUCUUUCUCUUUUUCUCAUCUUCGGUUAUCUUCUGUCACGAGAGAGACGCUACAUUCUUGAAGUUCUCCUUCAAUUGUUUGAGAUGUUUGGAGUACAGAGUCCAUUUCUACCUCUGCUUUUGUCCCCAUUGUCUUUCAUUAAGGAGGCACUAUUGAAUCAAUUGUCAUAUGUCGACCAAUGUACAGGAAGUUACAUGUUUGGAUAUUUUUGUCAAAUCGGGGAAAAGCACUUAUGACGACAAAGAUUUAUGGAGUGGUGACAUCUCAGAGGGAAUCUUCUUCUUUUGUCUAUUAUGUAAUUGGCUUCUCUCAUUGAGGAUGAAGAAUGUACUAUUUUCUAAUCUUUUACAACGUGUAAAUAUUAGUAAGUGUUAAAAACUUUAAACAAAUAGAAGUAUUUUCUUUGUAUUGGGACCUUUCAGUAAUUACUAACAUAAACAAUAAGGACGGGCAUAUGCCCGUGCUGAGCAUGGGCACGGGACGUCUAGUACUUUUUAUAUUAGAAACGGAAAAGGUCCAAAAAUACCCUUAAACUAUUGAAAAAGGCUCAUAAAUACCCUCCUUCCAUCUCUUGGUCUAAAAAUACCCUUCCAUCCACCUUUUAGGUCUAAAAAUACCCUUAAGGUUUGUUUUUGGCUCAAAUAUACCCUUUAAACUAACAGAAUAUGUUUUUUUGUUUUUUUAUCGGAAAAGGUCCAAAAAUACCCUUAAUCUAUUGAAAAAGGCUCAUAAAUACCCUCCUUUCACCUUUUGGUCUAAAAAAAUAUGAACGAAAUAUGUUUUUUUUUUGGGUUUUUUUUGCAUUUCAUGAAUAAAAAAAUGAAAUAGGAAAUUAUAAUUUUUUUUUUU